GACAGAGGGUGCAACCGUUGCUCGGAAUCACUGGGCGUCAAGGGCGUGUAGGCGGGCAGGUAAGUCGGGCGUGAAAUCCCUGGGCUCAACCCAGGAACUGCACUCGAAACUACUUUUCUUGAGUGCCGGAGAGGAAAGCGGAAUUCCUGGUGUAGAGGUGAAAUUCGUAGAUAUCAGGAGGAACACCAGUGGCGAAGGCGGCUUUCUGGACGGUAACUGACGCUGAGACGCGAAAGCGUGGGGAGCAAACAGG
rnacentral:rRNA from 1 species